rnacentral:SRP_RNA from 2 species
GCUGGGUGUGGUAGCGGGCACCUGUAAUCCCAGCUACUCAGGAGGCUGAGGCAGAAGAAUUGCUUGAGCCCAGGAGGCGGAGGUUGUAGUGAGCCAAGAUGGCACCACUGCACUCCAGCCUGGGCGACAGAGUGAGACCCUGUCUUAA